GGUGGGGUUCCCGAGCGGCCAAAGGGAGCAGACUGUAAAUCUGCCGUCAUCGACUUCGAAGGUUCGACUCGAGCGCCAGCG
rnacentral:tRNA from 1 species